UACCUGCAGCUCGAGUGGUAACCGCUAUUAUUGGGCCUAAAGCGUCCGUAGCCGGUUUGGUAAAUAUCUGGGUAAAUCGUGAGGCUUAACUUCACGAAUUUCGGAUAGACUGCCAGACUUGGGAUCGGGGGAGGUCAGAGGUACUCCAGGGGGUAGCGGUGAAAUGUUGUAAUCCUUGGAGGACCACCGGUAGCGAAGGCGUCUGACUAGAACGAGUCCGACGGUGAGGGACGAAGCCCAGGGGCGCAAACCGGAUUAGAUACCCGGGUAGUCCAGGGUGUAACAAUGUGGGCUUUGUAUUGGAGGUCCCACGUGGGCGUCCAGUGCAGAGAGAGUUGUAAGCCACCGCCUGGGAAGUCGGUCGCAAGGCUGAAACUUAAAGGAAUUGGGCGGGGAGCACAGACGAACGGGAGGAGCGUGCGGUUU
rnacentral:rRNA from 1 species